rnacentral:rRNA from 1 species
CGGACGGGUGGGUAAUGUCUGGGAAACGUGCCUGAUGGAGGGGGGUAACUACUGGAAACGGUAGCUAAUACCGCAUAACGUCGCAAGACCAAAGAGGGGGACCGUUAGGGCCUCUUGCCAUCGGAUGUGCCCAGAUGGGAUUAGCUAGUAGGUGGGGUAACGGCUCACCUAGGCGACGAUCCCUAGCUGGUCUGAGAGGAUGACCAGCCACACUGGAACUGAGACACGGUCCAG